rnacentral:pre_miRNA from 1 species
UACAUACUCCCUCCGUUCGGAAUUACUUGUCCCAAAAAUGAAUGUAUCUACAACUAAAAUACAUCUAGAUACAUUCAUUUUUUCGACAAGUAAUUCCGAAUGGAGGGAGUAUAUA